AUGGGCGUCUAUUUCCUCUCUGCAGCAGUCACCCUCAAGAAUACCUCGGUCCAGAAAACAUUCAAGCUAACUACGGUCUAUGGACCCACUCGCAACAACAACAAGGAUGCUUUCUUCCUUCAGCUAACAUCACAAAAACCUCCAUCACGCACAAGAUGGCUGGUUCAUGGGGACUUCAAUCAAAUAUACCAUGCCCGAGACAAAAACCGUGCCGAUGUGGACCGCAGCCGCCUCGUCCGAUUCCGAAACACCCUCAAUGCUUGCGAGCUCAAGGAGAUCCACCUUCAAAAUAGACGUUUUACUUAG
rnacentral:rRNA from 1 species